rnacentral:rRNA from 1 species
CCUACGGGAGACAGCAGUAGGGAAUCUUGCACAAUGGGGGAAACUCUGAUGCAGCAACGCCGCGUGAGUGAAGAAGUAUUUCGGUACGUAAAGCUCUAUCAGCAGGGAAGAAAAUGACGGUACCUGACUAAGAAGCCUCGGCUAACUACGGGCCAGCAGCCGAGGUAAUACGUAGGGGGCAAGCGUUAUCCGGAUUUACUGGGUGUAAAGGGAGCGGAGGCGGUAGCGCAAGUCUGGAGUGAAAUCCCAUGGCUUAACCAUGGAACUGCAUUGGAAACUGUACAGCUAGAGUGCAGGAGAGGUAAGCGGAAUUCCAAGUGUAGCGGUGAAAUGCGUAGAUAUUAGGAGGAACACCAGUGGCGAAGGCGGCUUACUGGUCUGUAACUGACGUUGAGGCUCGAAAGCAUGGGGAGCGAACAGGAUUAGAUACCCUUGUAGUC